rnacentral:rRNA from 1 species
UCCGUAGGUGAACCUGCGGAGGGAUCAUUACACAAAAUGAAGCGGGCUGGAACCUCUCGGGGUUACAGCCUUGCUGAAUUAUUCACCCUUGUCUUUUGCGUACUUCUUGUUUCCUUGGUGGGUUCGCCCACCACUAGGACAAACAUAAACCUUUUGUAAUUGCAAUCAGCGUCAGUAACAAAUUAAUAAUUACAACUUUCAACAACGGAUCUCUUGGUUCUGGCAUCGAUGAAGAACGCAGCGAAAUGCGAUAAGUAGUGUGAAUUGCAGAAUUCAGUGAAUCAUCGAAUCUUUGAACGCACAUUGCGCCCUUUGGUAUUCCAAAGGGCAUGCCUGUUCGAGCGUCAUUUGUACCCUCAAGCUUUGCUUGGUGUUGGGCGUCUUGUCUCUAGCUUUGCUGGAGACUCGCCUUAAAGUAAUUGGCAGCCGGCCUACUGGUUUCGGAGCGCAGCACAAGUCGCACUCUCUAUCAGCAAAGGUCUAGCAUCCAUUAAGCCUUUUUUUCAACUUUUGACCUCGGAUCAGGUAGGGAUACCCGCUGAACUUAAGCAUAUCAAUAAGCGGAGGA